AGCGAACGCUGGCGGCAGGCCUAACACAUGCAAGUCGAACGAAGUCUUCGGACUUAGUGGCGGACGGGUGAGUAACACGUGGGAACGUACCUUUUGGUUCGGAACAACUCAGGGAAACUUGAGCUAAUACCGGAUGAGCCCUUAGGGGGAAAGAUUUAUCGCCGAAAGAGCGGCCCGCGUUAGAUUAGCUAGUUGGUGAGGUAAAGGCUCACCAAUGCUACGAUCUAUAGCUGGUCUGAGAGGAUGAUCAGCCACACUGGGACUGAGACACGGACCAGACUCCUGCGGGAGGCAGCAGUGGGGAAUCUUGCGCAAUGGGCGAAAGCCUGACGCAGCCAUGCCGCGUGAAUGAUGAAGGUCUUAGGAUUGUAAAAUUCUUUUACCAGGGACGAUAAUGACGGUACCUGGAGAAAAAGCCCCGGCUAACUUCGUGCCAGCCGCCGCCGUAA
rnacentral:rRNA from 1 species